rnacentral:lncRNA from 1 species
CCAGUUACGAGUACUAGAGGAGGAUGUGCCGAAGACAGCCUUCUGAACUCGUUAUGGACACUACGAGUUCGUGGUGAUGCCAUUCGGAUUGACCAAUGCGCCCGCAGUUUUCAUGGAUCUGAUGAAUAGAGUAUGCCGACCCUACUUGGAUCAGUUCGUCAUCGUUUUCAUUGACGACAUCCUAAUCUACUCCCGAAGUAAGAAAGAACAUGGCGAUCAUCUGCGACAAGUUCUAGGGACAUUACGAAAAGAGAAACUUUAUGCGAAGUUCUCGAAAUGUGAAUUUUGGAUCCGAAGAGUCGAAUUCUUAGGACACGUGGUAAGCGAAGAGGGAAUCCACGUGGACCCAUCCAAAAUUAAGGCCAUUGAGAACUGGUCAGCACCGAAGACUCCUACAGAAAUUCGUCAAUUUCUAGGUCUCGCUGGCUACUACCGCAGGUUCAUUCAGAACUUCUCACGAAUAGCGAAGCCUCUUACAACCCUAACCCAGAAAGGUGUGGCCUUUGACUGGGAAGAGAAACAAGAAAGAGCGUUCCAAACGCUCAAACGAGCCUUGUGCACCGCACCAAUACUAUCCCUUCCGGAAGGAAUAGAAGACUUCGUAGUUUAUUGCGAUGCAUCGAAUCAAGGGCUCGGAUGUGUUCUGAUGCAGCGAGGUAAGGUCAUCGCCUACGCCUCGAGACAAUUGAAGACACACGAGGUUAACUACACGACCCACGAUCUUGAACUAGGAGCAGUAGUGUUUGCUCUGAAGAUCUGGAGACAUUACUUGUAUGGAACGAAGAGCACUAUCUUUACCGACCACAAGAGUUUACAACACAUUUUCGAUCAGAAGGAGCUCAACAUGAGACAACGACGAUGGGUCGAGCUACUCAGUGAUUACGAAUGCGAUAUUCGUUAUCAUCCGGGUAAAGCCAACGUAGUAGCAGACGCCCUAAGUCGGAAGGAAUAUUCUGGUCGCAAAGUCAAGUCAUUAUCGAUAACCAUCCAUUCACACCUGACUAAGCAAAUUCAGGCGGCUCAACUUGAGGCCAUGAAAUCUGAAAAUGUGUCAAGUGAAUCCCUUAGAGGAAUGGACAAGAAUUUAGAAGCCAAGGGUGACGGAGCUUUAUAUUUCAUGAACCGGAUCUGGACACCGAAGCAUGGUGGCUUCCGAGACUUGGUCAUGACCGAGGCGCACAACACUCGGUAUUCCGUCCACCCAGGUUCAGAUAAGAUGUAUCUGGAUCUUAAGAAGCUAUACUGGUGGCCUAAUAUGAAAGCAGAGAUUGCUACCUUCGUAAGUAAAUGCCUUACUUGCGCAAAGGUUAAGGUCGAGUACCAGAAGCCCUCUGGUUUAUUGCAGCAACCAGAGAUCCCGGAAUGGAAGUGGGAGCGGAUCACUAUGGAUUUCAUAACCAAGUUGCCCAAGACAACGGGUGGACUUGACACCAUAUGGGUCAUCGUUGAUAGAUUGACCAAGUCUGCACACUUCCUGCCUAUCAAAGAAACCGACAAGAUGGAGAAACUUACGAGAACAUACAUUAGGGAAAUCGUGCGACUACAUGGUGUUCCUAUAUCCAUUAUCUCCGAUAGAGAUAGUAGGUUCACCUCAAGAUUCUGGCAAUCGUUGCAACAUUCCCUAGGAACAAGGCUAGACAUGAGCACAGCCUACCAUCCACAGACCGACGAACAAAGUGAGAGGACCAUCCAAACACUGGAAGAUAUGUUGAGAGCCUGUGUGAUUGACUUUGGGAAGGCAUGGGAUACUCAUUUACCCCUUGUCGAGUUUUCCUAUAAUAACAGUUAUCACACGAGCAUCAAGGCUGCUCCAUUUGAAGCUCUCUACGGCCGUAUGUGCAGAUCUCCUAUGUGCUAGGUUGAGGUGGGUGAUACCCAAUUAGCCAGGGGGCAAGCUUCUGACAGUACUCUCACCGGUCCGGAGCUCAUUCGGGAAACGACGGAGAAAAUCGUUCAGAUCCGUGAACGAUUAAAAGCCUCUAGAGACCGACAGAAGAGCUACGCUGAUAAACGAAGAAAACCUUUGGAAUUUCAGGUGGGAGACCGAGUCCUUCUCAAAGUCUCACCCUGGAAGGGCUUGAUACGUUUCGGUAAGCGUGGGAAGCUUAAUCCGAGAUAUAUAGGACCCUUCGAGAUUCUCGCAAGAAUCGGCCCUGUAGCUUACAAACUCAAUCUACCCGACGAACUUCGUAACGUACAUUCUACAUUCCACGUAUCUAACUUGAAAAAGUGUUUGUCCGACGAGACUCUUGUAAUCCCACUCGACGAGAUCGAGAUCAACGAGAGCCUCAACUUCGUGGAAGAACCAGUAGAGAUCAUGGACCGUGAGGUCAAGCAGACGAAGCAAAGCCGUAUCCCUAUCGUGAAGGUUCGCUGGAACGCCAAGCGAGGACCGGAAUUCACUUGGGAACGCGAGGAUCAGAUGAAACUGAAAUACCCUCAUCUUAUCGCUUAAUUGUUUGUAACUUCUUAUUUGCAUAAAUUCUAAUUUCGGGACGAAAUUCCUUCUAACGGGGGGAUGAUGUGACAACCCGGAAUUCCCAUUUUGUACGAACAUUAGCUAUUCAAUAGAAGCGAGUCCAGUUUCAAUGAAUUUCAGACUUUUCCGAAUAAGUUUGUGUACAUUAGGGUUUACGUUUAAGGAGAUAUUAGGAGAGUGGAUGCUCAUGGGUUUGUGAAACUUGAGCAUUUCAAAACUUCAUAAUGUUAGAGUCCAAUUCCGGAAUAAAAAUAUUUUCUGCCAAAAUAUUUCAGGACUAUAAAUAGAUUUCUGAACUAAAUUCAUUCAUUAUUCACAUUUCCAACUAGAGAAAAUCCAUUUUCUCUCUCACGGAUCUUCAGGUUUUCAUCACAAAUCAUGAGUUCACUUCUCUAGUUGUGUUAUAAUGCUUGUUUUAUGCUUAAUAACAUAAAUUGCAUAUCAAAUAUAUGUCAUUCGGGAGUUUACUGCCCAAGAACAUUCUUGGGGAGUAAACUCCAAAAUGAAGCUUAAAGGCCAUCUAGUCCCAUUUCCUUGUUAGGUAACUAGUUUAGGAUAAUAUGUAUGAUCAUUUGAUACUAGAAAACAAUCAAGAACACAUAGCUUUAGUUGUUUACGGCCCAAGAGUUUCUUGGACCGUAAACACCAAAUUCAAGGGCUUAAAUGUGCCCUAAUCACUCCUAAAGGCCUUAGACAUUAACUCUCAAUUACUUCUAGCUAAUAUGGGGAAAUUAACACAUCAAAAACACCCCUAAAAGGGAGUUUACGGCCAAGGAAUACUCUUCGGCCAUAAACACCAAAUAAGGGCACCAAAGUGUGCCUAGGGCCCCCCUUAGCCUUAAACAAAUGCCUAGAAAUUAUCCUACUUGUGUUUGGGACUUGAAAGAAUUAAAACACCCAUCCCAUGAGAGUUUACGGCCGUAAACUCUAAGGGAUAUGGUCUUUUGGCCGUAAACUCCUCAAAGGAGUAUUAUCUAUGCCCUAAACAACCCAAAGGAUUAAACCACCAAGUUAGGCUUAUUCUAGAAAUCAAAUAACACUUCAAAUCACACAUUAUCACCAAGAUUGGAGUUCAUGGCCGUAAACUCAAGGGUUUACAACCGUAAACUCCUUUUGUGGGGUUUAUUGGGUAGUAAACUCUUAUAUAAAGCCCUUUGGUACAUUAAACCCCUUUAGCCUUGUCCCAUAGCAACUUAGAUGCAACCAUUAGGACCUAUAACACUUAUACAAAGUGUUUACAUGUUCCUGAGUGUCCCAACUUAUUUCAUUAAGUUAUUAAUUGACUAAAUAGUUAUAUAUAUUCUCAUUAUAUGAUAACUACGCUCGUGCGUGUGAACAAGUCUCCGUUUGCCACCUAGCACAGUAUCUGACACUUCAAUCCAAUCCACUCACCACAAGUGAGUUCAUACCCCUUAACUAAUGUUUUAAACUAUUUUUAAAUGUUUUUUUUUUUUGGGGGGGGGGGAUACAAGUAGAACCAUGCUGCUUCUUAUACCAAUCACAUGUGAUUAAUAAGUAGAAUAUUGCUAGUUAUUACAUCAAUCACAUGUCAUUAAUAUACAACAUUCAAACGAUUUGGCUACACAUUAGCCGUUUUACCAAACAGUUUCCUUCAAAUGAUUUUUAUAAACAUUUUGUAUGUUUUAAACUACUUAUUACACUGUACAUCUUACUCUUUAUAUUACAUUUCAAACUUAUUUACAAUUGCGUUUCAAACAAAUGUUUCUUUACACUUCAACUGUUUUAUCAAACUUAUGCCUUCAAACUGUUUUAUAGAUUGACAUCAAGUCGAUCAUUGCUGAAAAUAAUAUUUAUGUUCAAAUGUUUUACAAAGCUUAUUUAUGCUUUUAUAUUAUAAAUUGCAUGCCUCUAUAUGUAUAGUUAUAUAAGAAAUAUUUAAAAGACUUAGGAAGGCUAUCCACCCUAUUUCCUUUUCGCGCUUGAGAUGUGGUCUAGUGGGAUAUCGGGUACUCGUCCGAAGGUCGUUUAAAUAUUAGUUAUAUAUCAUGUGUACAUAUAUAGUCAUAAAAGGUCCUUCCAGUUCAUUCCAUGCCCUUGGGUAGCAAGGGUAUUCAUCCAUGUCUAUACGUACCAGAUAGAUUACUAGUAAACUACCAUAUGGGUAGUUCAGGAAGAUACUAGAAUAAUUACUAGAACGCGAUAUCAUACAAUGAGUCAGUUCAUUCAUGAGUCAAUACUUUCUAGAACAUUACAGUACAUUACAUAUACAACUAUACUAGGAAGAGAACAUAUACAACUAUACUAGAAUGAUUACAUUACUAUACUUGCUAGGUAGAGAGCACGUACAUUACAGCUAGAACAGUUCAUUACAUUACAUAUACAAGAAUACGUUAAUUAUUGUGAUUUAAAUCGGAGCAUGACUUAAAUGUCAUGACUCGAGUUGUAGCCAGAGUCUCUUGGAGGGAGAGCGUGAGUUUGCGUAUAGAUCUAUACUGGAUUGACAAUCCUACACCUUGCUGCUAGCUACAGCCGGACCUGCAGGUCUGCGGGUGCCAAACGUCAUUCCGUUAUUACGACCAUUCGUAUGUCGUUGUUACCAGUCGAUAGUAUGGUGCAAUUUAUCACAUAAUGCCUUAAUAUAAAUCCGGUUUAAGGUAGUAGUAUUUAGUACAGCAGUAGUCUUAUUAUACAAAGCUACAGUACUACAAUGAUUUACCCAUUACAUAUUUUAGUGAUAAUCUCACUUAAGCAUUAGUGUACAAACUAUAUUUUUAACAAAUGAUAGUUAUACUUGGGUAAUUACACACUUUUACAACAGACAAGUUUACAAAACAGUUUAGCCUUGGUAGAAGGUUACUUUUAUAGAAAAUAUAGGAUUUUCUGAGAGAUUCAAACUUUUACAAACACUUUCAAACAUUUACUUAAAAUUUUACAAACUUAUACAUUGAGACAGGUUCAAACGUUUUUGACAACAAACAUUGACACUAAAAUACUUAUGAACUCACCAGCUUAAUGCUGAUAAACUCUUUCAAAAUAACUUGUAUUCUCAGGUCAUCAGUAGACAGGUACCGAGGCCAGCUUUUGAGAAGAUGGAGUGCAUUCAAGACUCAUCUCAUAUUAUUUUGUUUUACAUUAUUUUUGGUGUCUAUAACUGUACAGAACACACUUGUAUUAAAAUUAUAUAUUUAAUGCAAUGGAUGAUGUUGUUUGCUUAUUUACAUUUACUGUGUUGUGAUACUUUACAUGACGUCCUCCGCCCCAGAACGUUUCCGCCGUUCUUGGUUUUGGGGUGUGACAAUCACAAAACAAGGUGUGAAUAACCAUGCAAAUAUACUGGGUGCCCUUAAUAUUUACUCUUAAUCGAUGUGCCGGUUAACCACACAUGCUCCACCGAUUCUAUGAUAAACAUUAAGUUACCCUUUGCCUACCUUGUUAAGUCCAGGUCAGUGUGCUGGUUAACUAGACACGCUCCACUAACCGACUUAAACAAAGUGCAAAGUGUAAUUUCAUGGAUUAGAACCUUAUUCACAUUUUUCCUAAGUAACUAAGAUUGGGUAUUAUUCAAGAUUUAGUUACUUAGUAUUUAUCAUUAAUACUUUCAAUGAAGGGAGAUUUUAGUCCUUGUCCUACCCGUUCGGCUAACGACCCUCCACCAGCCAAGGAAGCGGUGGGUGAGAAUGGACACCCAUUAAACUGCCAUUUUAUAGGCAGUAACCUUGUACCCCCCUUAUAGACCAGCUUCGUGAAUGAGGUCUACUAACAAUAAGACUGAGUUUACUCUUAUACAUAUAUAUAAAUAUUAUUAACUUAUAAUAUUAUAAAGUAUAAGGGUUGAAUUUUAACUUUUAAAUUUCUAAGGGCUAACUUGGAAUUAAAGUAUUCAUAAGUGAAAACUUUUCAAAUUCCACAACUUGAGGGCAAGUUUUGAAACUAUUCAAAACUAAUUAAUUCUAUAACUUAUGUGUUUAAAGUAGUUUAAAAUAAAAAACUCUUCAAGUUCCAUAACUUGAGGACAAGUUAUGGAAGACUUUAAACUAAUAAAAGAAUGUACCUUUUCUUUAUUUUGUAACUGAUGGAAUUAAUUAAGGUUACAAAUUUUAACACUUAAUGAAGUGACUCUUGAACCUCCAUAAUUUGAGGACAAGACUCUUCAUUUUUUGUAACCAUUGCCAACUUUUAUGAGUUUUAUGAAACCUAAAUGUGACUUUUCAUCUAACUUGAGGACAAGUUACAAAAAGACAUUUUAGAAUCAACUCUUAGAUUAAAAUGGGUUGAAAACACAUAAUCAAUUAACUUUUCUAUUAAUCUAAGCAACUUAUCAGAACAAGAUAAUUCAAAUCAAACUUUUUCAUGUAAUUAGCCUAAUCACUAAACUAAUACAAAACAUGAAUCUAUUGACAAUUAUCUUUGAAAUUGGAUUAGCAUGAACAUUACCACAUCAAAAACAAGUUUAUAAGUCCAAAAACAACUUAGGGUAAUGUUCUUAGUCCAUUUCUACUUAAAAAACUCGAAAAUAUGAUGUCUGGGGCUCCUACUCGUCGAGUGUAUUAACCUACUCGACGACUAGGAUGAUUUUUUUCAUGGACUUACUGUCACACCCCGAAAACCAAAGGCGGAAACAUUUCCGGGGUUGACUCCAUGUUGAGUAUCAAAUCCAAUGCACAUAGUAAAGCAGUAAUCACAAAACAUUACAUUACAUAAUAUUGUUUACAUCUGUUUAAAAGAAAAGUUGUACAUGUGUUUUACAUAUGUAAUAUGAACAAAAGUAAAGACGAGUCUUCAGGACACUCCGUCUUUUCCAAAAGGUUACGGUGUACCUGUCUAACGCAGACCUGAAAAUACAAGUAGUUUGAAAAUCAACAUAAAGCUGGUGAGUUCAUAAGCGGUUUAGUUUUGAGAAGAACGAGUUUCCUUUACUUUCUGAAAUAGUUAUUGUUCAAGAAAAUCCCAUAUUUUGUUAUAUAAUGGUUUAGUUAUCUUUUGAUUUCAAAGUAUUAGUACUUACCAUAUGUGUAGUAUUAGUUAAGUAUUCUAAACUCCUAGAUAUACUACAUUCGUAUGACUAUAACCUACAAACUUAUUUGUAUUUUUGUACAUUUGGAUUCACCAGAAACGUACAUUACAGUAUUUUUGAUUAUUCUGGUGGAUUCCAAAAGAGUACAUUAGUUGUAUUUUCGUAUCUCUGUCGAGAUUCUGAGGCAGAUGUAAUCGAAACUCAGUAGAGGUCCAGAGGCGUACUUUCGUAUUUGGAACUCUGGUGACGUUCAAGGCGUACACUAGCUGUAUAUUCGAAGUCUUGCUGUCAUCCAAAGGCGUUAUUUCGCAUUCGUAGUCCUAAGCCUAUUCGUAUUCGUUCUAUCAUAUUAGUUAUAUUCGUUAUUCGUAUUCGUACAUAGUUAUAUUCGUAUUCGCAUUCGUUCUAUCUUAUUAGUUAUAUUCGUUAUUCGUAUUCGCACUUAGUUAUAUUCGUAUUCGCAUUCGUUCUAUCCUAUUAGUUAUAUUCGUUAUUCGUAUUCGUACUUAGUUAUAUUCGUAUUCGCAUUCGUUCUAUCCUAUUAGUUAUAUUCGUUAUUCGUAUUCAUACUUAGUUAUAAUUAGUAUGAUUUCUUUUACAAAAGACAAUAUAAUUACAAUAUUUAAAAGAAAUCUGUAUUUAACCUGCAGUUCAAAACAUCAGUUGUCACAAUCAAGACAUUUAGUAAAUAAACCAUUAAAUUGAAAAUCAGUUUAAGUACAAAAUAUAUUUGUACUUUUGCUUGUAUUCCCCCCCCUGAAAAACAGUGAAAACAGUGAAAAACACGGAAAAGGGUAGGGGUAUGAACUCACCGGACGUGGAAAUGUGUCGAUUUCGGAUGCUAAACGUCGAAUCGAGGCCUGAUUACUCGUGAUGUUCGUAUGUAAAAUGAAAUAAUGUCCAUAUAUAUAUCUAAUUAGAUUUACAAUCACUAAUUAUAUGGAACAUUAUACUCCAAUGAGAUUAAACACCCCAUAACGAGUGUUUUGGAGUGACCCGGGUGACAUCUACGGACGGGAAUUGAAGCGAGGGACUUGGAAUUUGAGUUUACUCCCCAAGAGUAAACUCCCUAAUGAAGUUUACGGCCUAAACACCCAUUCCCCAUGAGUUUACGGCCGUAAACUCAUGGUGGGGUGGUUUAUGGUGCUUAAAGGGUCACAAAUUGAUAUUAACACUUGGAAAUUCUUGGAAUAAUUUUACCUAAGGCUUGGAAUGAAUUAAAAUCACCAAAUACAACACUUAAGGGAGUUUACGGCCUUGGCAUGGGGUCUAUGGCCGUAAACUCUCAUAACCCCUUGAAUAAGUGUUUUUAAGGUCUCAAAAUUAAUCACAUGUGAUUCUAAAAAUUCCUACAAGCCUAGAAAUGAAUUUGUGGCACCAUUUGACACACUUUUAGGAGUUUACGGCCAUGGGGCAUGUUCUACGGCCGUAAACUCUCAUAUGUGAGGUUUUGAUGUGUUAAAAGCCCUUAAACUAUUUUUGGUUGGUUCUAUGAUUUAUUCCAAGGCUUUUGGUGGUGUUGGAUGGUUUUCUAACACCUUAGAAGUGAGUUUAUCCCCAUAAUAGAGGCGUUUACGGCCCAAGCACAUGCCUUGGCCGUAAACUCAUACAAACCUCUUAAAAUUUUAUGUUUGAAGUGUUCUAGGUCCAUAACCAAUAUUCUAAUAGUCGUAUCUAAGUCUUGUUUGAGCCAUGGAAGGGUUUAAGGGCUUAAAAACCCUCUAAAUUAGUGUUUACGGCCUAGACACCUUCCAGGGCCGUAAACUCUUAAACAAGGGUCUAUAUCAUGUUUCAAGGCAUUCUAAACUCAUUCCAUAAAGUCAUCUAGCCAUAUCUAAGGUCUAAUUGUGGUUUGGAAGGGUUUUGUUGCUCCAAAAACCCCAUUAAUAUGAGUUUACGGCCUAGGAUAGUUCUAGGGCCGUAAACACAUGAUAAUGGUCCUAAUCCAUAGAUUAUACUCGAAUUUGAAGGCUAAAGAGGUUGUAUAGCAUGCUAGGGAAGUUACCUCAAAGAUUUGAAGCCUUAAACUUGAGAUUUGGACCUUUAAUUCUAGUUUGAGGAGAGAGGUUGGGGUGAUAGUUGUAGAAUGAAGCAAAAGCUUCAAAAUGAAGUCUUAGAACACUUUAAAUAGUGUUCGGGAUUUGGACACGAUGAAAUUCUACCCGAUACCGGCUUUAGACGGGGCUUUUGGUUGCACCCGACCAAUUUGCCGUAACCCGAUAUGGUUGAUUCUAGAAAUGUUCCGAUCAUUAAUAUGUGACGUUAGAAUGAGUUCUAAGGGUAUUAACACACUUAUUAAGUCAUAAAAUAAAAUAUACAAUAAUGACUUAAUAAAAUGCCAAAAUCGAAAACGAAACCGGAAACGACGAUUGGAUAAUCGGAACGAGUCGCAAGAAGGGUUGCAAUUAGGAGAGUUUACGGCCAUAGACCCCAUGCCAAGGCCGUAAACUCCUUUAAGUGUUGUAUUUGGUGAUUUUAAUUCAUUCCAAGCCUUAGGUAAAAUUAUUCCAAGCAUUUCCAAGUGUUAAUAUCAAUUUGUGACCCUUUAAGCACCAUAAACCACCCCACCAUGAGUUUACGGCCGUAUACUCAUGGGGAAUGGGUGUUUAGGCCGUAAACUUCAUUAGGGAGUUUACUCUUGGGGAGUAAACUCAAAUUCCAAGUCCCUCGCUUCAAUUCCCAUCCGUAGAUGUCACCCGGGUCACUCCAAACACUCGUUAUGGGGUGUUUAAUCUCAUUGGAGUAUAAUGUUCCAUAUAGUUAGUGAUUGUAAAUCUAAUUAGAUAUAUAUAUAUAUAUAUAUAUAUAUAUAUAUAUAUNNNNNNNNNNNNNNNNNNNNNNNNNNNNNNNNNNNNNNNNNNNNNNNNNNNNNNNNNNNNNNNNNNNNNNNNNNNNNNNNNNNNNNNNNNNNNNNNNNNNNNNNNNNNNNNNNNNNNNNNNNNNNNNGGGGGGGAAUACAAGCAAAAGUACAAAUAUAUUUUGUACUUAAACUGAUUUUCAAUUUAAUGGUUUAUUUACUAAAUGUCUUGAUUGUGACAACUGAUGUUUUGAACUGCAGGUUAAAUACAGAUUUCUUUUAAAUAUUGUAAUUAUAUUGUCUUUUGUAAAAGAAAUCAUACUAAUUAUAACUAAGUAUGAAUACGAAUAACGAAUAUAACUAAUAGGAUAGAACGAAUGCGAAUACGAAUAUAACUAAGUACGAAUACGAAUAACGAAUAUAACUAAUAGGAUAGAACGAAUGCGAAUACGAAUAUAACUAAGUACGAAUACGAAUAACGAAUAUAACUAAUAGGAUAGAACGAAUGCGAAUACGAAUAUAACUAAGUACGAAUACGAAUAACGAAUAUAACUAAUAUGAUAGAACGAAUACGAAUAGGCUUAGGACUACGAAUGCGAAAUAACGCCUUUGGAUGACAGCAAGACUUCGAAUAUACAGCUAGUGUACGCCUUGAACGUCACCAGAGUUCCAAAUACGAAAGUACGCCUCUGGACCACUACUGAGUUUCGAUUACAUCCGCCUCAGAAUGUCGACAGAGAUACGAAAAUACAAUUAAUGUACUGUUUUGGAAUCCACCAGAAUAAUCGAAAAUACUGUAAUGUACGUUUCUGGUGAAUCCAAAUAUACGAAAAUACAAAUAAGUUUGUAGGUUAUAGUCAUAUGAAUGUAGUAUAUCUAGGAGUUUAGAAUACUUAACUAAUACUACACAUAUGGUAAGUACUAAUACUUUGAAAUCAAACCUAAGAACCAAACAAUUCAACACAUAGGAAAAUCGGAACGAGUCGCAAGAAGGGUUGCAAUUAGGGAUAUGAAUUUCGGGUUGUUACACUUAGCGAGUUCAUUAGUGGACUCGGCGAUUUCGAUGCCCAGAAAGCCAGAAAAUCGAUUUUUUCAGCAUUUUACAGCAAUUUGCAUCAAGUAUAAGAGAAAGCAAGCCUAGGCUCUGAUACCGCUGUUGGGUUUUGAAUAUUCUAACACUCGUAAAUGUACAUGCAACCCUAAAUACCUUGGAUCUAUGUUUUCUCUAUUAUACAUGCAAAUAUGAACUUUCGAAGGUAUUCAUCCUAAAUAGCAUAAUAACAUUGAAUUUAAUGAAUAUAUUAAGUUAGAAUUACAUACCUCUUUGAUGUAGAUUGUCUUCAUGAAGUUUGAUUGCCUAAUGCCCCAAGUGUGACACCUCAAAUGGUUCACACAACACCAAAUGCACAUGGAAUGACUUGAGUGAACAUACACACUUCAUGAAAUUGGCUAGCCCUUCAUUCUCACUCAUAGUAGUGCACGAUUUCUUGAGCCAUGGGAUUCUUUUAUAUGGUGGCUACUAGGGUUACACCAUGUAACUCAUAACUUUACCCAUUCCUUAUGCUCCAUGGAUUAUCCAUGGGUUACCCCAUGGACUUAGUCCAACAUAAGGAAUCUUGGAUCAUAAGCCCACAUAUAUAAGAAUNUACACAAUCAACCCAUAUAUUUAUUUGGUCUCAUUUAGAUCACUUAAUUAAUUCCAAAUUAAUUCUUGAUCAAUAUUUAUUAAAUAACCUUAUUAAUAUAUUAGAACUUAUAAUAUAUUAACCAAUCUUAAGUGUUAUUUCUCUCAUUAUAGUCUAUCCAAAUACAUGAUGCCAUGCAACCCAAAUGGACCAUGCCGGGUCGGGUCAAGUCUUACCAAUUAUAGUUAUGGACUUAGACAUUAAUCCAACAUGUACUUGAUAUGAUAGUAGCAUGGUUCUUUGGGUUGCCUUCGCCAUAGCAACUUGACAAGAUGAUAUUUGGAAAGAGGUUGAUAAAUGAUUUGUUAAUAUAUUAUAAGAAUAAUAUAUUAAUUGAGAAAUCAUAUUAUUUAAUUACUAUUAUUCAGAAAUUGAUUUGAAAUUAAUUUGAAAAUAAUUUUGCGAUUAAAGGAAUUGAUUAAAAGUAAGGGGACUAAUAUUGCAGAUCACUGAUAGUUGCAAUGUUGGGCUAAUGCACUCCUUUAGAAGGGAAUGGACGAAAUCUAUAGGAAGCCCUAUAGAGAUUUCGUCCAACGCUUCUAGGAAGGAGGUCCAUGGACUGCUUAAGGCCUAAGCAAUAAGAUAAGGGUUUCCACCUGAAAACCCUAGAAGCCUCAGCUAUAUAUGGAACCCCUUGGUAUAUAAUUUUUAGCCUAUACAUUCUAGGAGAACCGUAGCCGAAAAUUGAAGAGCCUCCAUCACUUCUCUCCUUCAUUCUUUUGCUAGUGGUGUUUGUGACUCCAUUGGAGGUGCAAUGCUUGGGGCACUAAACUUUUAGAAGUGAAGAUCAAUCAAGGAAUACUUGUUAUUACUAGAUAACAAGAAAGGUAUUAUUCUAACCCUAAUAAUAUAUAAAUUCUGAUUUUAUAGAUACUAGAUCUAGGGUUAUUGCUUUGGAAAUCUUGUUUGCAUGUAUAACUUGAUUAAAACCUAGAUCCAAAGCAAUCAGGGUUGCAUGUACACAUAGGAAUGUUGUUUUUCUCAAAAUCCAUCUGUGGUAUCAGAGCCUAGGAUGUUUUUAUGUUAUAUUUGAUGCAAUAGUGAUUUGUCUAAAGCUGGAACAAAAACGAUUUUGCUUUCUGUAUGAUGAACUCGAAGAGUUCAAAGAUGAACUCGACGAGUCCAAGCCCUAAUUUGACGAGUUGACUCGUCGAGUUGACUCAUCUGGCAGCUAAUUUUUCGAUUUUCAAAUCUAUCUUAGAUUAGGAUAAUUACCAUAAUUCAUUUUUAAUGCCUUAAAUUGAAUUAUCAUCUUGGUAAUGUGAUUUCGUUAUCUAAAUAGAUUGAUUUGGUCAAAUUUUAAGAUAAUAUCCAAUUAUAUGAUUAAUUAAUUAUUUAAAAUUUGAACAUAGUAAUUUUGAAAAGUUUCAAAUUGCACCCUCAAGAUUUUGAAUUUAAAAUUUAAUUAAAAGUUUAAUUUUGAAAUAUUAAAUUCUAAAACCCUACUAUUUUAAAAGUUUAAAAUACAACCCUUAUACUAUUAUUAUUGUAAAAGAUUAAUACUUAUAUAUAUAUAUAUAUAUAUAUAUGUGUGUGUGUGUGUGUGUAAGAUAUGUCAGUCUUACUGUUAGUAGGCCUCAUUCACGAAGCCGAUCUAUAACUGGGGUAUAAGUAAACUUCCUAUAAAAAUGGCGGUUGAAUGGGUGUCCACUCUCACCCACCGCUUCCUUGAUUGGUGGAGGGUCAUUAGCCGAACAGGUAGGAUAGGACAUUAAUUCCUCAUUAAUAAGUAUAAUGAUUAAUAUAAAGUGACUAAAUGUUUUUAUAAAUUCCCAAUCUUAUUCACUUUAGGAAAAUGUGAGUUUGAUGCUAAUCCAUGAAAUUUCAUAUUGCACCUUGUCAAGUCGUUAGUGGAGCGUGUGUGGUUAUUCGACACCCUAACUUGGACUAAAAAAAGGUGGCAAUGGGUAGCUCGUAAAUUAUCAUUGAUCAAUGGAGUCUGUAUGGUUAACCGGCAUAUUGAUUAGGUGGUAAAUGAUAACGAAAGUACCAUGCUAAUUUGCAUGGAUAUUCACACCUUGUUUGUGAUCCUCGGUAUCACAGUCACAAACUUCAAAGGCAUAAUCGAGAUUUAACAUGCCAUUAAAAAGUUCAAUGAAUCUCGAAAAAAUCUAGGAAUUUCAUUUCAUUGAAAACCUAAUUCAUUAUUUUGUUUUUCCUGGUGGAAUUGGUAAAUCAUCAUUUACUUACCAUCAAAUAAUUUACGAUUGGAUUAUGGUAUCCCUCUUUCGAAUUGUGAACUAUAGUGUUGGCUCCUAUCCUUAAUAUUUCAUUUGGGUUUUGUAUUAAGGAUUCCUUAUCUAAUCAAAACUUUGUCUUUCUUCUUUUUCAGAUGUCUGGACCAUACAAUGUUUCUAGCUCAACCUCCAACAACAACUCAAACAACUCCUUCUCGCUCCUAAACAUUUUAGUGAGCAUUACGUUUGAUGGUUCCAACUUCAACGAUCGAAUCCGGAACAUUCAUAUGUCCUUGCACUACGAGGACAAAGAAUUUUUCCUCGAUAAAACAUUGAACAAGAUCCAUGAAUCAAAAGCUACUCCUGAAGAAAUAGGUGAGUAUGGGGUUCACUACAAGGUUGCUACUAAGGUAUCCUGUAUUAUGGUAGCCACCAUGACCCCUGAGCUGUAGUGGUUCUACGAGGACUAUUGGCCCUACGAGAUGUGUAAGGACUUGAUGGAAAAGUUCCAUCAAAGAGUACAUCAAGAAAGGUACAAGAUAGUCACCUCGUUCAUCACCACCAAAAUGAGGGAUGGAGAGUCCAUCACGAGCCACUUGCGAAGAAUGUAAAGAUAUGUAGAUCGUCUCUUGAAGUUAAUAUGAACUUUGAUGAAGAGUUGGCUAUUGACAUAGUCCUACACUCUCUACCUCCUUGCUAUGAUUAGUUCGAGAUGACUUAGCACAUGAUCAAUAAGGAAGUCAUAUUGAGCAAGGUUUAGGGCUUGCUAAGAAUUGCUGAAAGUGGAUUAAAGGGGGAAAAGUGUCGAAUCCACUCCCAUUCCUGCUGCUACUUGUGUCCUGGAAAUUAGACAAGGUAAGGGGAGAAUAGGAAAGCUCCCUCGAAGAACUGGAAGGGAAAGUGCCAUGAUGGUUCUUCUGCAAGUGGAUCGAAAGCAAAAACUGGUUCUGUCGUUCCCUCCUCCAAUCCUAAAGAUGCAAUGUGUUUCUACUGCCAUGACAAGGGGCAUUGGAAUAGAAGCUUCCCGAAAUACUUGUAGGAUAUCAAGAAUGGGAAGAUAAAGCCCUCCUUCGCAGUUAUUUAUACUAUUCUAUCUAAUAACUCAUCACAUGCUAAUUAUUUGGUCCUUGAUACAAGAUGUGGUUUUCACAUUUGUUUAGAUUUGCAGGGGCUAAAAAGCAGUAGGAUGUGGAGCAUGGGAAGAUGAACUUGUAUAUGGGCAAUAGGAAGUCGUCUCCUAUUACCAAGAUCAGAGUUUACCCUUUGGUGCAUAAUAGUGGGUUAGGGUUAGAUUUGAAUGAAUGUUGCUACUCAUCAGAGAUGACAAGGAAAAUUAUUUCCUUUCAUGGUUUGUACUGACAAGGCUUUAGAUUUUUGUUUAAUAAUGAAAUUGGUUUUAUAAAUGCUUAUUAUAAUGGUUUAUGUUAUUUUGAAGCAUUGCCUUGUAAUGUUGUAUAUGAAACUGUAAUGGUUGUUGAUAACUUAGGAAAUAAUGUGUUGCAUUUUGAUUCGUUUAAUGGUUUAGACAAGGCAUGCUUGUGGCAUUGUCAUCUUAGACAUGUCAACAAGAAGCGCAUUGCCCAACUCCAAAAGGAUGGAGUCUUGGAUUCAUUUGACCUAAAGUCAGAUGACUCAUGCAAAUCUUUUUACUUGGAAAGAUGACUAAAUCACCUUUUACUAAUACUUGUGAAACAGGUGAGGGAUUGUUGGAUCUCAUACACACAAAUGUGUGUGGGCCCUUCAGAUCCACCACAAGAGAUGCUAACCGCUUAUAUGUGACAUUUACUGACGAUUAUAGAAGAUAUGGAUAUAUCCAGGUAAUCAAGUACAAGUAAAUUUUUUUUGAAAGAUUCAAAGAGUUUAAGCAAGAAGUGGAGAAUCAAUUGAGCAGGAAGAUAAAGACGCUCAGAUCUGGUAGGGGUGGUGAGUAUCUUAGUAUCAAGCUCCAUGACUAUCUUAAGGAAUGUGGAAUUGUUUCACAAUUGACGCCACCUAGGACACCACAGCUUAUUGGUGUGGCUGAUAGGCGCAAUCGAACGCUGUUGGACAUGGUUCGUUCCAUGAUGAGCCGAGCUUCACUUUCGAUAUUGUUCUGGGGGUAUGUCUUAGAGACUACCACCCAUAUCCUUAAUCUAGUCCCAAAAAAUAAUGUGCCAAAACAUCCCAUGAGAUGUGGACAUGGAAGGUUACCUCGUUGGCACAUAUCAAGGUUUGGGGUUUUGAAGCUUUCGUAAGACGAGAGACUCACAACAAGCUUGAACCUCGAAGUGAGCGGUUUAUUUUCAUCAGCUACCCAUAGAAAUCUUUUGGAUAUCUUUUCUAUAGACCUAGUGAUAACAUGGUCUUUGAAUCAAGGAGAGGGGUUUUCUGCGAGAGAGAACUCAUAUGCCAAGGAGGCAAAUUGAUCUUGAAGAGAUUCAAUAGUCAAGCGAUGAAGGAACCUAUGACACUAGCACUCAACCUGAGGAAGAGAUUCUUGUCGAACCAAUUGACGAGUGAUUACCUCUUAGACUUUCCUCUAGAGUUAGAAUGGCACCAAAGUUUUAUGGUUUUUAUAUUACUACGGAUGGGUACGUUUAUCUAUGAUAGUACACUGGUAAUCGAUGAUCCAUCUAGCUACAAGGAAGCCAUGGCGGACUUGGUGUCUACAAAAUGGAAAGAGGCAAUAGACAGCGAGAUCCAGUCCGUGUAUGACAAUCAAGUUUGGAACUUGGUUGACAAUGUACCAGGUCGAAAGACAGUUGGCUGUAAAUGGAUCUUCAAGAAGAAAGCUGGCAUGGAUGGAAAGGUGCAUAUGUUCAAGGCAUGGUCGGUUGUGAAGGGCUUUACUCAAACCCCAGGGGUUGACUAUGAUGAGACCUUCUCACUAGUGGCUAAGAUCAAGUCUAUUAGGGAUAUGUUAGCUAUCGUUGUGUUUCAUGAUUAUGAAAUCUGAUAGAUGGAUGUUAAAAUUGCUUUCCUUAAUGGGAAGCUGGCUGAAGAUGUUUACAUGUGUCAGCCAGAGGGUUUUGUGGAUGCUAAAUACCCCAAUAGAGUAUGCAAGCUUGAGAAAUCCAUUUAUGGAUUAAAGCAAGCGUCUCGCGGAUGGAAUCUUUGCUUCGACGAGAAAGUCAAAGAGUUUGGUUUCUCUAGAAGUAUGGAUGAGUCAUGUUUGUAUGUUAAGGCUAGUGGGAGUAUAGUUAGCUUUCUAGUAUUGUAUGUCGUUGACAUACUGGUCAUAGGAAACGUCGUUCUAACCUUGUAGGAUGUUAAGUCCUGGCUUGGGAAGUAUUUCUCUAUGAAGGAUCUAGGGGAAGCUGCUUAAAUUUUGGGGAUAAGGAUUUUGAGAAGUAGGAGUAGGAGACUGAUUCGACAUAGUCAAAGUACUUACUUGGACAAGGUGUUGAAACAUUUUAGCAUGGAGAAUUCCAAGAAAGGGGAGUUUCUUAUCCAGAGCAAUACCAAACUGAGUAAGACUCAGAGCCCGGGUAUCGAUGCCGAGAUAACGGAAGUGAGUCGAUUGCCAUAUGCUUCUGCUGUUGGCUCGAUCAUGUAUGGUAUGACAUGUACUCGUCCUAAUGUGGCUUUUGCGGUGAGCAUGGUUAGCCGAUAUCAAGGGAACCCGAGUAGAGCUUACUGGAUAACAUUUAAGAACAUUCUUAAGUAUCUGCGAAGCACUGAGGUUUGGGUCCUUAUACUUGGUGGGAGUGAUGACUUGAGAGUGACAGGUUAUAGUGACGCCAACUUUCAAACCGACACAGAUAACUUCUACGCUCAGUCGGGCUGGGUGUUUACCCUAAAUGGAGGAGCAGUGACUUGGAAUAGUUCCAAGCAGGAGACCGUAGCUAAUUCAACAUGUGAAUCGCAGUACAUAGCUACAGGCACAGUGUCGAAGGAGGCUAUAUGAUUGAAAAACUUCAUUGGAGAACUUGGAGUUGUAACAGCCAUAAAGGAGACCAUGGAGAUUUUCUGCGAUAAUGAAGGAACGGCUACCUUAAAAAAGGAACCAAUAGAUCAUGGAAGAUACAGACAUGUCGUCAGAAAAUACCACUUCAUCAGACAUCAAGUUGAAGAAGGAAUCCUCGUGGUCAAUAGGGUAUCGUCAGAAGAAAAUCCUACGAAUCUCCUCACAAAGGGUCUAAGUAGGAUCAAGCACGUUCAACAUGCGAGGAACAUUGGUUUGACGGACGAUAUUAGUUUUAGUGAUUAGAUAGAUGUUUUGAAACUUGUAAUAGAUAAAUGUAGUUGACAUUUGGUGAUUAUAAAAUGGAGAUUUAUAUAUAAGUAAUGUUACUAUCUUGUGUGAAUUUUUUAGCAUUGUUUCACUUUUGCAUGUUUUACUUCCAGAUUAAUUAGAUUAUUCAAAUUAUCCAUAGUGGAUCAUACUUUGGAACUAAGUAAUGAGGCAAGAGCAUCAUUAAUUGGUUUGUAGAUUGUCUAAGUUCUUAGACAUACCAAACGUUUGCAGCAACAUUCAUGAGUACUCCUGAAAUAGGAUUUGAGUAUUGGAUCAAACUCAUGCUCAUUUGAAUUACUUCAUGGAAUUUAUCAUGAGUAAUUGUGAGAUGAUAAUAUCAUAUAAUAUUUAAACCAAUUUAUAUGAGUUGCUUUUUAUGAGUUGGUUGUGCAUUGAUAAUGCGUAAAUGGAUCAGUAACUUGAUGUUAUAUAACAUAUUGUUAUGUACGCUUUAAUGAGUAAAUAGUACAAGCAUAUAAGUCAAAGUUUAUAUGUUCCUUUUAUCCUAAGAGGGUAUAUGAAACACCGUAAAUUUCAAAAUAAUUUUUCACAAUUUAUAAAAACAUUUCUCAUUAACUUUUCAUAAAAACAUCAAGUUUAAAUCUCAAUUCACAUUAUACAAAAUCCCAAGAUCAAUGUAUAUCAAAAAUCCCAUGCGUGUGUACAGAUCAAGCCGGUGCCUUCCCACGGUCAUCGCUAGUACCUGAAACAACAACACUAACACUGUAAGAACAAGGCUUAGUGAGUUCCCCAAAAUACCACAUAAACACAUAUAUACUAGCCACUCGAGGCUAUAACUCUGUGGGUCCGUGCACCCAAGCUUUGUGAACCCUCAGGUUCUAACUCUGGGAACCUUCUGGUUCCAACUCUAUAACAUGCACAACAUAAAUCACAUAGACAUCAUGCAGUACAACACAUAGCAUAACAUACACAUACUCUAACACAUAACUCUGAUCACCUACUCAAGGUAAAGUAUAGUGAGAAGACUCACCUCGUGAAUAUCGAUAGCUAGCAAGUCCCGAAAUCACACGUGCUCGAUCCUCCGAGCUACAAUCUCCCUAUAACAUCAUAUGUCUCUAGUUAACACUUUUAACACUAAGGUUGACUAUCCCUCACAAGUCAACACUGGUCAACUCUGGUCAACGGUCAACGGUCAACUUUGACCGGACUCGGCGAGUACACUAAGGCGACUCGGCGAGUCUAGACGUUUUCACCAACUCUCUAGGAUUCCCUUUUUACACGUCGAGUACCCCCCUGACUCGACGAGUUCCACCUGGCAGAAUCGCGGGGCCACCCCGACUCAACUCUCCGAGUCUCAAGAACAACUCGGCGAGUCCCAGCUCGACUCAGUCCACCUGACAACCCUCUCUAACUCGCCCUGACUCACUGAGUCAACCUAUGACUCGACUGGACCACUCACUGGCCGAUCUAAGGGCAAUCUUCAAGCUACUCGCCGAGUCUGCUCAUCGGACUCGGCGAGUCCAUGCCAUGCAAUCACUCAAACUCGCUUCUAAGGUCAGAUCUGCUCCAACAAUUCAUAGAUCUGGCCUUCCUAGACUGAUUCAUCACGUAAAGCCCUUAUCUUGGUGUUCACGACACACCCCAUGGCUCAUAAAUAGCAUUUUGACCCAAGGCAUAAGGAUUCCAAUCCAAAACCUCCAUUGAUUCACAGAAAGCUUGGACAAAGGGACACUCUGGACCUCCAAGGGUCCAGAUUUAUGGUCUAAAUCGCUUAAGGGGCCAAGGGGGCUCUAGAUCUAGCCACAAAAGGGUUCAAUAAACCCUAAAUCAAAUAAACAUCAACAUAGAAGAGGAUAGCUCGAAGAUAUUACCACAAUAGUGAUGCUAUGGACUCCAAACUCUCAGAAAAUAGCUCCCCUUGCUUUCCCCUUAGUUGAUCCUCCCUUUCCCUUGCAAGAUGACACCUCCAAGAUCAAUAUUGGCCUCCUACUUUGCUCCAAACGCUCACACUCGAAUAGGGUUUCACUCAAGGGACUGGUGAGCACAAAUGACGGGCAUAAGGCCCUUUAAAUAGGUCCCAAACCCGAGAAAUUAGGGUUUCAUUAAACAGCGCAGACUCGCCGAGUCCAUACCCUGGACUCGCCGAGUCCAGGUGCGAACCUGCGUCCAGAACCACGAUCCUACUCGGCGAGUCUGAGCUCCAACUCGCCGAGUCCCCUCUCAAAACACCAAAAACAGAAACAUAAAAGAUACCUGGAAAUCCGGGCUGUUACAACUCUCCACCACUAGAACUAGACUUCGCCCUCGAAGUCUCGCUCUGAAAAUAGUUCCGGAUGCUGCUCACACACCUCACGCUCCGGCUCCCAGUUCAUCUAUGAUCCCUUUCGAUGUUGCCACUGAACCAACACCAGAGGUACCUCCUUGUUCCUCAAAACCUUGAUCUUCCGAUCUCUAAUGGCCAUGGGCCUCUCGGCAUAAUUCAGGCUCGCAUCCACCUGAAUAUCCUCUAAUGGAACCACUGCCGACUCGUCGGCUAUACACUUCCUCAACUGCGACACAUGAAAAGUGUCGUGAAUCUGCCCCAACUCUGCUGGCAACUCCAAACGAUAAGCUACCCGGCCUACCCUCGCAACCACACGAAAUGGACCAAUAUACCGGGGCCCCAACUUGCCCCUCUUCCUGAAUCGAAUCACUCCUUUCCAAGGAGAGACCUUCAGGAGAACGAAGUCGCCGACCUGAAACUCAAGCUCGGACCGGCGUCUGUCUGCAUAACUCUUCUGUCGGCUCUGAGCGGUCAGCAACCUCUGUCUGACCUGCUGAAUCUGCUUUAUCGUCUGAAGCACGAUCUCUGUGCUGCCCAUCACUCGCUGACCAACCUCUCCCCACCAAAUGGGGGUCCGACACCUCCUCCCAUACAACAGCUCAAAGGGUGGCAUACCAAUGCUCGAAUGAUGGCUGUUGUUGUAGGAAAACUCUGCCAAGGGUAAAUAUGCAUCCCAGCUACCCCCGAAAUCCAACACACAUGCUCGGAGCAUGUCCUCAAGCGUCUGAAUCGUCCGCUCACUCUGACCGUCUGUCUGGGGAUGAUAUGCGGUACUAAAAUGCAGUCUAGUACCCAACUCCUCAUGAAAUUUCUUCCAGAAUCUGGAAGUGAAACGCACAUCACGGUCCGAAACAAUCGAGAUCGGCACCCCAUGCCGAGAUACCACUUCCCUCACAUACACCUCCGCCAAUUUCUCUGCUGAAGAACUCUCACUAAUGGCAAGGAAGUGAGCGCUCUUCGUCAACCUGUCCACAAUCACCCAAAUUGCAUCAACUCCUCUGGCAGUCCUCGGCAAUUUGGUGAUGAAAUCCAUAGUGAUCUGUUCCCACUUCCAUUCGGGAACCUCCAAUGGCUGCAACUUGCCAUGCGGCCUCUGGUGCUCGGCCUUAACCCUACGGCAGGUCAAGCACCUCUCAACAAACCACGCGACGUCCCUCUUCAUACAGGGCCACCAAUACUCCUUUCUCAAAUCCAAAUACAUCUUAGUGGCCCCCGGAUGGAUCGAAAAUUUCGACCGAUGAGCCUCCUCCAUCAAAGUGGUACGCGUUCCUCCCACAAACGGUACCCAGAUACGCCCCUGAAAUGUCAUAAGACCCCGACCAUCGGUCACGAACUCUGAAACCAAACCAACAACCCGUUCCCUCUUCUGCAUCCCAGGUUGCACAGCCUCGGCCCUUGCUCCGCGAAUGGCGUCCAAUACCGGAGCUAUCACAGUCAAUCUCAAUCACACAUCCCGCAGUGGAGUGCUCUCCGCCGUGCGGCUCAACGUAUCGGCUACCACAUUAGCCUUGCCUGGGUGAUACAGGAUCUCACAAUCAUAAUCCUUGACCACAUCCAACCACCUUCUCUGACGCAUAUUUAGGUUGGGUUGAUCCAUCAAAUACUUCAAACUCUUAUGGUCCGUGUAUAUCGUACACCGAACCCCAUACAAGUAGUGACGCCAAAUCUUGAGGGCGAACACCACUGCCCCCAACUCUAGAUCAUGGGUGGGAUAUCUCGUCUCAUGAGGCUUCAGCUGCCUCGAUGCAUAUGCUAUCACAUGCCCUCUCUGCAUCAGCACCGCUCCCAAUCCCAAAAUCGAUGCAUCACAAUAUACCACAAAGUCCUCCAUCCCUUCCGGGAGAGCUAACACCGGGGCUUCGCACAACCUCUGGCGAAGUGUCUCAAAGGAGGUCUGCUGCUCGGGACCCCAUGAGAAUGCAACACCCUUCCGGGUCAAUCUGGUGAGUGGCACUGCGAUCUUGGAGAAAUCCUUGAUAAAUCUCCGAUAAUACCCUGCCAACCCUAGGAAACUCCUGAUCUCGGAGGGUGACUUCGGCACCUCCCAACUCAUCACUGCCUCCACCUUGGCCGGAUCGACCAAAAUCCCUUCCUGGUUAACGAGAUGUCCUAAGAACUGAACCUCCCGCAACCAGAAAUCACACUUGGAGAAUUUGGCAUAGAGCCUCUCCGAUCUCAGAACUCCAAGAACCUCUCUCAGAUGCUCCUCAUGCUGCUCUCUAGAUCUCGAAUAUACCAGAAUGUCGUCGAUAAACACAAUCACCGACCGAUCCAGCAUCGGCCUACACACUCGGUUCAUGAGAUCCAUGAACACUGCCGGGGCAUUGGUGAGCCCAAAAGGCAUCACCACAAACUCAUAAUGCCCAUAACGCAUCCUGAACGCUGUCUUCUGGACGUCCUCAUCCCGCACUCUCACCUGAUGAUAUCCCGACCUCAAAUCGAUCUUGGAAAACCAAGAUGCUCCCUGCAACUGAUCGAAUAAAUCGUCGAUCCUCGGCAACGGGUAACGGUUCUUGACCGUCAGCUUGUUCAACUCCCGGUAAUCAAUGCACAUCCGGUGUGAACCAUCCUUCUUCUUGACAAACAAAAUAGGUGCUCCCCACGGCGAGCUGCUCGGCCGAAUAAAUCCCUUCCCCAGCAACUCCUGGAGCUGCGAGGAUAACUCUUGCAUCUCUGGACGUGCAAGGCGAUAAGGCACCUUAGCGAUACGCGCAGCCCCCGGAACCAAAUCGAUACUGAACUCCACUUGCCUCACAGGAGGCACACCCGGCAACUCCUCGGGAAAUACAUCCGGAAACUCGCGCACUACCGGAACCCCCUCAACUGAACUCUGCCUCUCAGAAAUCACCUGCGUAUCCAUCACAUACGCCACAAAACCCUUACAGCCCUGCUGUAGACACUGCCUCGCCCUAGCGGCCGAACAAAACGCUGAUCCUGAACGUGUACCCUCUCCGUAUACCGAAAUAACUCCCCCACUAGGGUCUCGUAUCGUCACCAGCUGUCGCUCAAAGUCGAUGACCGCACCGAAUCUGCUCAACCAAUCCAUGCCCACAAUGACACAGACAUCACCCAUAGCAAUAGGAAUCAGAUCAAUCGGGAACUCAACACCGAAUAUCUCAACUACGCAAUCUCGGAGAACCUCCGUGGCAUAUAUCACCCUCUCAUCAGCUAUGGAAACUCUCAGAGGCCGACUCAACGCCUCACGACUAACACUGAUAUGCUGACUAAAAGCCAAAGAUACAAAAGACCGACUCGCACCCGAGUCAAAUAACACCAAGGCAGGUACAGAAUUCACAAGAAAAGUACCUACGCAUAACAUAACAUAAGCAUAAUAUCUCAACAUUAAAAUAAAUACAUGAAAUACCAGCCAUGACAUCGGGCGCUGUGAGGACCUCCUCCGCGGUCAGCUGAAAAGCUCUCCCUCAUGCCCUCGGCGCCUCGACCUUCACUGGCCGACUCUCGGUAGCUCAGAUGGCGGCAGGGGCAGAUCCCUGAGGUGCUCCCUGAGCUGAUCCCCGCAACUGCGGACACUCUGCCUUCCGGUGUCCGGUCUGGUUGCAGUGAAAACACACUGCAAACCCCUUGGGGCAGUCCUUGGCCAUAUGCCCCUCCUUGCCACAUUUGUAGCAANCAGACUCCAUCAUGACCCUUGCCACACUUCCCACAAGUGCGGCCCUUCUGGCUCCCUGGUUUGGGAUCAGCGGGCUUGGCCCGCUUGGCUGCCGGCUGAGACUGUGCCAGUCGCCGAUCUCUCCCCUGAGACUCCACAUCCUCCCUAGCCUGAGUCUCUAGCUCGGUCUCCCUCUUCCCGGCAUUUGCCUGAAGCUCAGCAAAUGUCCGGUACGAGGAGUUCGCCGCGAACUCCCGAAUAUCCCGCCUCAAAACGCUCAAAUAACGGCUCAUACGUGCCUGCUCAGUGGACACGUGCUCAGGGCAGAACAUCGCCCUCUCAUGGAACAUCCUGGUAAUCGCUGUAACUGACUCAGUACCCUGCUUGAGGGUCAGAAACUCCUGUGCUAAACGCUCCCUCUCCACCUGGGGAACGUACUCAUCCCGAAACAUGGUGGUGAACCUCUCCCAGGUCACCGCAGAAAGCUCAGCAGGCGUAUAAUGCGCCGUCACAAACUUCCACCAGUCCUUCGCUCCCAAGCGAAGCUGGUUCAGCGCGAACCGUACCUUCAAAUGCUCAGGAGACGAGCAAGUGAAGAAACACCCCUCAAUAUCAGAUAUCCACCUCAUAGCUGCCACCGGAUCCUGAGUACCAUCAAACUCUGGUGGUUUUGUGUUGCUGAACUCACGGAACAGCAACGCAUCCCCACCCUGCGGCCUCGCAGCAGCAAUCGCUGCGGUAGCCGCUGCAGCAGCAGCCUCAGAAAGAGCGGCAUAACGCUCAUCAAACGUCUCAAUCAAUGUGGUCUUUAUAGACCCAAACAUCUCCGGUAUCUCUGCCCUGAUGGCCGCAGCCACCUCCUCAUGGAUGAUCCGACGGAUCUCCUCAUCACUGGUACCACUGCUCUCGGGCAUCAAACGUGUCCUCACCAUGAUCUACCUCUGAAAUACAACAUACGAUAAAUUAGAAUCCACACGAGCAUACUCACACUCGUCAACUCUUUCCUCCUUGAUUCUUGGCAUUCCAAAGAUUCUUACUUGGGCUGCACACCGCUCCGGUGCUUCCAGUAGUACGGGCCCAAUACUACUGUCCGCACCGCACCAGAAUACACUCCAAGUCCUCCUCUUCGGAUCCCAAGUCUCAAGUACUCUAUCAUGCAUAGACCACUCUCUAAUAGAUCUCUCAUAAGCCCCUCGCUGCUACCUACUCACUCUCAAGCAUCUCAUAGCAGCUCACCUCUUCCUAGGCUAAGGCAUCACAAAUCAGGCCACUCUAGUCCUAAUAGGAAUACCUAGCCUACUCUAGCAUGCGAAUACAUCAUAGCAGUAUAUAUAUCACAUAACAUAAGGGUAUUUUGGGAAAUCACCGUUUGGGCGCGGACUGAUCGUACACACAACUCUGCUCUUCAUUUUCAAAAUCUUUUAUACUUCUCUUUUUUUUUUUUCAAAAUACUUCUCAAAUCCUCAGUUUGAGUUCAAAUACGCCCGAAGGUGUACUCGAAUCCCUCAAACCAAGGCUCUGAUACCAACUUGAAACACCGUAAAUUUCAAAAUAAUUUUUCACAAUUUAUAAAAACAUUUCUCAUUAACUUUUCAUAAAAACAUCAAGUUUAAAUCUCAAUUCACAUUAUACAAAAUCCCAAGAUCAAUGUCUAUCAAAAAUCCCAUGUGUGUGUACAGAUCAAGCCGGCGCCUUCCCACGGUCAUCGCUAGUACCUGAAACAACAACACUAACACUGUAAGCACAAGGCUUAGUGAGUUCUUGAAAAUCCCACAUAAACACAUAUAUAUUAGCCACUCGAGGCUAUAACUAUGUGGGUCCGUGCACCCAAGCUCUGUGAACCCUCAGGUUCUAACUCUGGGAACCUUCCGGUUCCAACUCUAUAAACAUGCACAACAUAAAUCACAUAGACAUCAUGCAGUACAACACAUAGCAUACACAUAACAUACACAUACUCUGACACAUAACUCUGAUUACCUACUCAAGGUAAAGUAUAGUGAGAAGACUCACCUCGCGUAUCUCGAUGACUCACAAUCCUGAAAUCCCUCGUGCUCGAUCCUCCGAGCUAUAAUCCUCCUAUAACAUCAUAUGUCUCUAGUUAACACUUUUAACACUAAGGUUGACUAUCCCUAAGAAGUCAACACUGGUCAACUCUGGUCAACGGUCAACGGUCAACUUUGACCGGACUCGGCGAGUGCACUAUGGCGACUCGGCGAGUCUAGACGUUUUCACCAACCUCUCCGGGAUUCCCUUUUGACACGUCGAGUACUCCCCCUGACUCGACGAGUUCCACCUGGAAGAAUCGCGGGGCCACCCCGACUCAACUCGCCGAGUCUCAAGAACAACUCGGCGAGUCCCAGCUCGACUCAGUCCACCUGACCACCCUCUCUAACUCGUCCUGACUCACUGAGUCAACCUAUGACUCGACUGGACCACUCACUGGCCGAUCUAAGGGCAAUCUUCAAGCUACUCGCCGAGUCUGCUCAUCGGACUCGGCGAGUCCAUGCCAUGCAAUCACUCAAACUCGCUUCUAAGGUCAGAUCUGCUCCAACAAUUCAUAGAUCUGGCCUUCCUAGACUGAUUCAUCACGUAAAGCCCUUAUCUUGGUGUUCACGACACACCCCAUGGCUCAUAAAUAGCAUUUUGACCCAAGGCAUAAGGAUUCCAAUCCAAAACCUCCAUUGAUUCACAGAAAGCUUGGGCAAAGGGACACUCUGGACCUCCAAGCGUCCAGAUCUAUGGUCUAAAUCGCUUAAGGGGCCAAGGGGGCUCUAGAUCUAGCCACAAAAGGGUUCAAUAAACCCUAAAUCAAAUAAACAUCAACAUAGAAGGGGAUAGCUCGAAGAUAUUACCACAAUAGUGAUGCUAUGGACUCCAAACUCUCAGAAAAUAGCUCCCAUUGCUUUCCCCUUAGUUGAUCCUCCCUUUCCCUUGCAAGAUGACACCUCCAAGAUCAAUAUUGGCCUCCUACUUUGCUCCAAACGCUCACACUCGAUUAGGGUUUCACUCAAGGGACUGGUGAGCACAAAUGACGGCCAUAAGGCCCUUUAAAUAGGUCCCAAACCCGAAAAAUUAGGGUUUCAUUAAACAGCGCAGACUCGCCGAGUCCAUACCCUGGACUCGCCGAGUCCAGGCGCGAACCCGCGUCCAGAACUGCGAUCCUACUCGGCGAGUCUGAGCUCCAACUCGCUGAGUCCCCUCUCAAAACACCAAAAACAUAAACAUAAAAGAUACCUGGAAAUCCGGGCUGUUACAGUAUAAACGAUAUUUUGGGCCCCAUGAUAAUUUUGUGUUGACUUAUGUGUCGGGCUCAGUUAGGAUUGAAUUGAUGUGUUCAAUUAAGUUUGUUGUCAGCCAAAUUAGAAAUUGGGAAACAAAUUGUUGGACAUUGAGAAUGAUUUUGUUCCAUGUUUUUGUCCACACGAUAUCUUGUAGAACAGAGGAUCAUAUAAUCCCUUAUCAAAAGGACGCGCCAUUGACUAGGUCAGAGUUUGACAACGACUUUUAAGAGCUACGAUUGCUAAGUCAGAUUCUGAAGCUACAUUGGCAGUUAUAGUUAUUAGACUUAUCCAAGUGGGAAACUGUUAGAUUAGGUGUCUAAGCCCAUAACUAUAAUUUGUAUGUACUUGAUCUGAUAGUAGCAUGGUUCUUUUGGGUUGAUAAAUCGUUUUUGAUAUAUUAUAAGAAUAUUAUAUUAACUGAGAAAUCAUAUUAUUUAAUUACUAUUAAUCAGAAAUUAAUUUUGGGAUUAAAGGAACUGAUUAAAAGUAAGGGGACUGAUAUUGCAGAUCACUGAUAGUUGCAUUGUUGGGCUAAUGGACUCCUUUAGAAGGGAGUAGACGAAAUCUAUAGGAAGCCCUAUAGAGAUUUCGUCCAAGGCUUUUAGUAAGGAGGUCCAUGGACUUCUUAAGGCCUAAGUGAUCAGAUUAGGGUUUCAACCUAAAAACCCUACCAGUCUCAGCUAUAUAAAGAACCCAUUGGUAUAUAAUUUUCAGCCUAUGCAUUCUAAGAGAACCAUAGCCAAAAGUUGAAGAGCCUCCAUCGCCUCUCUCCUUCAUCCUUUGCUAGUGGUGUUUGUGACUCCAUUAGACGUGCAACACUUGGGGCACUAAGCUCUUAAAAGUCCAGAUCAAGUAAGGAAUACUUGUUAUUACUAGAUAACAAGAAAGGUAUUCUUCUAAGCCAAAUAAUAUAUAGAUUUCGAUUUUAUAUAUACUAGAUCUAGGGUUAUUGCUUUGGAAAUCUUGUGUAUGUAUAACUUGAGAUAAACCUAGAUCCAAAGCAAUCAGGGUUGCAUGUACACAUAGGAAUGUUGUUAUGCUCAAAACCCGUCAGAAUUAACAACUAAGGGUGUUGAGUUGAAUGAAAAGAAGGAAGAAUUGGAAAGGGUGAUGGAGGAGAGAGAUGAUAUGAAGGAUCAGUUAAAUGACAUUGAGAAUAAGGCAAAUACGUUUAUGGCUAUUUUUAUGUUGUAGGACAGGUUGAAGAUGGUGGAGGAUUUUUAGAAGAACAAAGCGGAUUCUUGGGAAAAAGCUAAAUAGGAACAAGCGUUUCUUGAGGGUUAGAUUUAGAUUCAAGUAUGUUAUACUUAGUUGUUUUUCGAGACAAUAUUUUUGUUUGUAAUAGUUUAUCCUAGGUUUUUGCAUAUUUAUAGGAUCAUGGUACUUUUCAACUUAUCCUUAGUUAUGAAUGGUUGUAUAUUUUCGAUGCUUUAAGAAUAGUAACUAUUUUCUAGAAAACUGUCUUUUUAGACAAAUUUAGAAAGUGUGCUUUGAAGAUUAAUAUAUAAAUGAACAUAUAAUGGGUUGUGUACCGUAUAAGAUAUCUUGCAGUUGAUAUUUCAAGUCAACUUGGAUUUUCAGGGUAUCAUGUGAUGCUCUAGCUACUCGUAAUCUAUAACUUUCAUGAACAUGAUUUGCAUUUUUGGAUCUUUGUAUCUUAGACUUAAGAUAUUCUAAUGUUUUAUAAUUCUUAGCUUUGUAAAAACUAUUAUGUUCAAACCUUAAAUUAACAUGAAAAUGUUGGAUUCUUGGGAUGUUCCUUAAUCCUUGGGAUGUUCCUUUAUGUCUUUGUUAAAUAUGUCAAUGCUAAAUGUAUGAGUCUAAUUUCCUAAUGUAUGACAUGUCUGUUAGAUAGAGUGUCCAAGGUCAUUACGUAUUAAUAUUUUUAAUAAUAACAAGGUCCUUUUGCGUUCCCGUAAAGACCCAAAUUGAGUAGAAUAAAUAAAGGAGAAACUAUUUUAUUAAUUAUUAUGGUUUUAUUAUUAGAUAGUAUCUAAUUAGAAAAUAUUUUGGGAAUUAAUUAAAUAGUUUUUAAUUAAUUAAGAGGGUUGGAUAUUAAGUAACUAAUAGCCGGUUGAUUGUCAUAUUCCAAAAGCCUUAAGGAAUUAGGAUUGGAUGAAAAUCCAUUCCAUCCCACAUGGGAUAGAGGUGAUUUUUGAAAUUUCAUUCUAUCCCACAUGAAAUGGAGGACAAAUCUAAGGAAGGGAUCCUAGAUUAUAAAUAGGGCUCUAGGGAUCUCAUUAUUCCUUGUACAUUGGCAUGAUAAAUUCUCUAAUCCUAUUCCAUUCCUCUAUAUGGGACGAUUUCUAACCCUCUUAGUGUUUGUGAAUUUGACCCUUCUCCUAGUUAUUUAUAUUAUAUCUUUGGUGUUUAUUGGGCUUGAUACCAUUAAAAGGAUUUUGGUUUAGGUCCUCUAAUGCAAGCAACAUUGAGCAGGACAAGAUCUCAAGCAUGGAGAUUAUUGGCGUCAUAAGCGGCAUGUUAUUCUUCCUUCUUUAAGUUUUAUGUUAUGUAGAGUAGCAGUAGUAUCACGAAACUUAGAUCCUUAGGGUGCAUGAACACAUAUGAUUAUUUUUAUGUUUCCAUUGCGCAUAAUUGUGUGUUUAGAUACAUAGAAAGUACAACAGUGGUAUCAGAGCCUUAGUUCAUGUUUACUUGCACUCUAUAAUCCAUAUGAUUUGAUAAUACUUGUUUGUAAUGGAAUAAAACCUGCUAGUAACAGGCACGUAAGGCUUUCUUCUGGGCGUGUCGCGUCCUGCCACAUCUAGGGUCUCUUGAUACCUUUCCUUAUCGAUUUCAAACUAGAAGAUUUUCAUAUUUUGGAUGUUUGCCUUUUAUAAGAUAAAUAUUGUUUAAAAGGGUUUUGAAUAUGGGUAUUUAUUUUUGGUAUAUAUUAUUUAAAUAGAGAUUUUGAAUUUGAAUAUUUAAAUGUGUGUUAAUUUAAAAUUAUUUAAAUAGACAUUUAAAUUUGAAUAUUUGAAUUUGUUUUAAUAUUGUUUAUAAUAGUGAUUUAUGAACUUGAAUAUUAAACUAAUAUUAAUUGUUAAUAUUGCACAUUUGCAAUUAAAAUAGAAUUAAUAAUAGAUAAUAAAAAUUAAAGAGUUUUAAAUUUAUCCUGUUAUAUAUGUACUAUAAUAGUAUUUAUCAUAUAUGUAUAUAUAUAUAUAUAUAUAUAUAUAUAUAUAUAUAUACAAUGAAUGGAUAGGGUAAGAUACUUUUUAAAAUAUACACAUUUAGUNNNNNNNNNNNNNNNNNNNNNNNNNNNNNNNNNNNNNNNNNNNNNNNNNNNNNNNNNNNNNNNNNNNNNNNNNNNAUAAGAUAAUGGUUAAGUAACCGAUUAAGAAUACAUAUAUUAUUUACAAUAUGUUGAUGAAGCUCGUGUGGUUAACCAACACAUUAAUCUAGAGUAUACUUGAGAAUGAUGUAAAACUCGUGAAUCUCAAGCAUAACUUGAGCAAGGGACCAUGCACUUUUUUCAUGUUCGAUCCGCAGCGAGCCCAUCAUAGAAUUUGAGAUAAGCAUAAUUUGAGAUUAAGAUUCCAUUGAUAGUCAAUGAAUCUCAAAGAUCUAAGAAUUUCAUAGUUAUUAAAAUUGGCAAAUAGUAUUGCCUACCUAAGUAACUUUAUGGUGUGUUUAAUGCGACCCUUUACACAUCAUAAAGAAAAAUAUGGAUCUUAUCCUUAUAAAUUAAUUUUAUUUUAGGUAAUUCUUUUCAAAGAAUUGAUAAAACAAACUAUAAUGGAAAUUGAACUAAAUGAUGUCUAUAAUCUUAUCCACUAAAAUAUUCUACUUCAAAAACCUCUAAAAGGAUAAGCUAUUAGGAUGAUCAAUCUUGUCUAAAUUCAUUGUUUGGGAAUAGUUCUCAUAAACAAAAAGAAAAAUCAUGCCUUCAAUAAACUUGUUCCUGGGGUUCCUCCAACCACCACAUUCUAAACUAUUGGAAAGAGAAGUUAUCAAGUGUACGUUGUAAACUGACAAAUUGAAGUAAAAUGGAAUUUCAUUUAGUAAGGAACUAGUUGCGAGACCCGUAUAUUAUACGGGUUAAUUAAAACAAAAUGUUAAUAUAAACAAUUAAAUGAUAAUUUUAUUUGAAUUUGAAAUUUAAAAUAACUGAAAAUUAUGAGAAAAAAACAUGCAAAAAAUAAAUAAAUUAAAAUUAUGUGUUUAGUUAUCAGAUUUGUGUACUAAACGGAUAAAUUAUAACAAAAUGUUAAACACAAAGGUUUAAACUAUAAAUUUAUUUGAAAUUGAAAUUAAAAUUUAGAAUUUGAAAUUUGAAAUUAAUAGUCAUUAUGAUAGGUUUAAUUUAUGGAAACUAAAUUAAUGAUAUAUUGGAAAUGAAAAAUGAAGUAAAUGACAAGUGGAAAAUAAAUAUCUCAAAAUUAUGACAAAAUGACAUGUGGCCAAUUGAAUGAGAGAAUGACAAGUGGCAAAAUUAUUCUGAUUUAUUAGGAUAGAUUGGCUAGGGUUAGACAACUAUCUAACAUGUACAGAUGAUUAUUUCAUUCUAAUUUUGAUAUGAACAGCUUGGCUUGUCCAUGGAGGAGUUACAUGGCAUGUUGUACUUUCCUUUUGGAGCUAACUUGCCUAAUCAUAGAAACUCAAACUUCAAAUACUCCCAUAUAUUUACUAUCAUGAAUUUAAGUGUCAAGAAGAAUAUAGUUUGUUCCCCAUGGUUAAAAAGGCAAUUAGUGUUGGUAUACCUAGUCUGAAACCAAAUGCUAAGGACAAAAGAAGGCUUAUUUUGAGACAUGUUCUCAUAGGCUAUUCAUUUUCAUAAUAAGAAAAGGACAAAGAAAGCCUAAAUGCCUAAUAUAUAUGAAGUGAAAGGACUGAAACAUGAAGAAAGUAAUUUGAUCAUGUAUUACGAGACCACGUUACCAUCUAUAGGAUCAAAAGAAAACUUGUUUUCCCAAAUGUUUAGUAUUCAAUCGAAGAUAUAAAUUCAUAAUAACAUUGAAAAUUACUUUUAGUACUUUGAGUAUUUUACUAAGGAUUAAGUACUGACAUUUGCAAGAAUAUGUAGUGACUGAAAUGAAGUAAGACAUGGAGAUGAUAAUUUGAUCAUGAAUAUCGAGCCCUUGCUACCAUUCAUAGGCUCAAAAGACAACUCUUUUUCCAAAUGUUUAGUCUAUGUUAUUGUAAGGUCAUAACUUAUGAUCCGAUGAGUCAAACACAUGACACGCUGACAAAUCAGCUUCAGCGUCUACUAUAUCUAUAGCUCCAACGUAUGAAACUUAUCAGCGUCAGCUUACACUUCAGUUAUCCGAUUGCAAUCUUUUGUAUAUAUUAGGUAAUGAUAUAGAUAAGUAUAUAAUAGAUCAAAGAUUUGAUAUCUUUGUGAUAAGAUCGAUUCUUAAUAUAGAUUAGGCACAAUCUCUUCAAUCAAGGGAUAUACAUGUAUAAAUUAGUAUAUAUACAACAUUAGGCUAAACCCUAAUGUUGUGAUCGUGGCUUUGUGUCAAUCGUAUUUGUGACAAACUCGUCUUCUUGGUGAUAACAAAACUCUUUCUUGGUGAAAGAGCGAUUUGGAGAACUUUUGUGUUAUUUCCUUUCUAUUUAUUAUUUUUCUUAGAUUAGUUUUACGUUUGUAAUUCAUACUUGAAAUGUAUCCGAUUGAAACUAACAUUCAAUUGGUAUCAGAGCGGGUUCAUGAUACACUCAAGUAAUCAUGCCGACUUAUCUCAUUCCAAAGUCAACUGUCUAUAACACGAUACCUCCGUUUGACAAACACAACUUCUCUAAUUGGAAAUCAAAGGCCAUGGAAGUUCUAGAGUACAUGGAUUUUGAUAUGCUCGACGUCGUUACCAAUUGUCGUAUAGCUGCUAUGCAUCAAUCAUGCAAUGAUGGUGCAUCUAACAAUAAGUUGAAAGGGCAAUAUGUUCCUGGUUAUAACAAGAAAGAGAAAACGAUGUUGAAUCUCGAUGUAAAGGCUAGAAUUAAUAUUGGAAACUCAUUCCCAUUUUAUGUCUAUAGUUUGGUCCAAAACUACUCAACUACUUAAGAGAUGAUGACCACUCUAUCAUUCGAUUUUGAAAAGGAAAACUCUUUAGACGAUGAAGUUAAGUGUCUCAUGGCUCAGAUUGUUGAAUCUCAUCCUAACACAUCACAUGACAUCGUUGGGAUCCUUAACACUAAUUCUCCUCACACUGCUAAAGCCCUAAAGUCAGAAUGGGACGGUACGUUAGCGUAUCAGGUAAAAAAUCAUGUUUAUCUAUUCUUUAUUGAUGAUAUCAAAAAAUAUGACACGAUCGAUAUCUUAUGUUUCAAUUUAUUGAUCUCAAAUAAAGAAAAUUCUUCUCUCAGUCUUGAGCUAAAGAUUCACAAAGAAAAACUCUCAUCUCUAGAAAAAUCUCCUUUUGUUUUAGAAAAGGAAAACAUUUGUAUCUCGCGAACAAAUAAUUUUCUUCAUACUGAAAAAGAAAAAGUUGUUGAUCAUGCUAAUCACACUCAAAUUAUUUUGAAUUAAUGGGCAUCCUCUCACUUUACUGUCACAAGAAUCAUUAAUGCUCAGAUUCCAUAUCAGUGUAAGAAAAUUCUUGGAGGUGAUAUAUAAGGUGUUGUUUCUUUAACCAAAGUUAAAACUAAACAAACCUUUUAGAAAGCCGACUGCCUAAAAGAAGAGUUUAAGAGUAGAUUUGUGAGUCCUUAUUUUAUAAAUUAAACUUUAAUCAAUACUCACUACUCUACUAAUUCUAAUGGCAUUACUAAAUGAGUUUAUAAAUUAUCUUCUCUUCAUCCUUCUGUCCAAACUUCUCAUCGUAAGUAUGUUCUUCCCUCCACUAAGAUUUUGGUGAAGUUUCCUAUGUGUAAUGGUGAAGUUUAUUCUGUAAACGAAAUUCUUAACAUGCUUCCUUAGUGCCCAGUUAGCAAUUCUAAACCUGAAUAUUAAUGAAAGCCUUCUACUCCUGAUAACUAUUCAAAUGAUCAUGAGUCUCAUGACAAGGUAGUAUAUGAGAAUACCAUUGAUAACAUUCCUUGUUCCAAAACUAAAUCAAGAACUCUUAAGUCAAAUAAACGUAAUUAUUCAGAUUCAGUAGUUGAAAAGAAAUCAAAAUCUAAUGUUAAAGGAAAGAAUAUAGGAAUUAAAGUUUGUUAUCAAUGUGGCGACGCCUCUCACUAAAUCAGCGAGUGCACUUUUAAAAGAACACUGCUCGCACUGAUAAUAUCAUGAGUUAAAAUGAUAAGUGGAUCAUGUAACACCCGUAGAUUCGGGUUAGUCAAUUUAGAGACAAUAAGCAUCAAAAAUAAUUUUUUUAUAUAAGAUUAUUUAGAAUAAAUAUUCUUGAGCAAGUUAUAGUAUAUUUCACAAGGAAUCUGUACAUAUAAAGAAUGUUGAAAUCCGAGUUAUAGCAAAGAAGUUAUGACCUGACGAAGUUUUACGGCAAAAUCGGCAUGACACUAGGAAUCGUAAAAAGUGAAUUUAUGAUAAAAUACUUUCUAGCAUUAGCGAUCUAAACGAAAUUCAUAGUAUAGUUUAAACCGAGAGUGUGCAUAAAAAGAAUGUCCAAAUCUAACUUCGUAUGAGGAAGUUAUGAUUUUUUUAAGAUUUAGCAUAGCAGUGCACAAUCCGAAAUUUGAAUUUUAGAUCGGUCGAUUUUUAGCCAAAAUAAUCUAAACAAAAAAUGAAAAUAUCGUUAACAGGAGUUCAACAAUAAAAAGACAGUUGAAAACGGAGCUUGUAUGCGAAAGAUAUGGACAAAACAUAGUCCCUACUCUUCGAGCGCAGUGAAUUCGAUAUAGUUUUGUAAAUCUGAGAUAGAAUGAUAAUUAGCUGAUGGGAUCUAACUGAAAGUUGUAGUACUCGUAAGUACCAAUGCGUGGAUAUAAAUAAUGUUGAUAAUAGAGCUUAUAUGUUAAAGAUAUGGAUGAAACUUAGUCCCUACUCUUCGAGCGCGAUAAAUUUGAUAUAGUUUUGCAAAUCGGAGAUAGAAUGAGAAUUAGCCGACGGGGUCCAAUUAAAAGUUGUAGUACUCGUAAAUACCAACGUGUGGAUAUAAAGAACGUAGAAAAAAGGGGCUCGUACGUGGAAGAUAUGGACAAAACUUAGGGCCUACUCUACGAUAAAACCCCAAUAAAUUAAGGGUGAAUCCUUCAUAUUUUCUUCACACCAUAAGCCUUUCUUUCUCUCUAUAACUUCUCUCUAGACUCCCAAAACCCCUCUGAAUCCCUAGUAACUUGAAGUUGCUAGAGGAAAGACCCGGAGCGCUCGAAGGCUCCGAGAAAAAGAGCUUUUCGGCUCAGAAACUCUGCUCCAGUGGAACCUGGUUUUUAGCAAAACCCGCUGUAAGUGAGAUACGUGUAUCGUACAUUAAAUAUAGCUUAUAUUUAAAUAUAAUAUUGUUAUGAUGAACCUUUAAAUAAGAUUUAUCAGUGAUUCAAAGUUGUUUUACUGAUUGAUCUGCUUAUGGGGAUGAUGUCUAGGCUGUGAUAUAGUGAGGUGUUUAAAGUGAGAUUUCUAAACAGUAUACUUCGUAUACCAAACGGACCUUACCUCUGAUAUGAUCCUACCUGCUUGUUCCUUAGUUGAUAGAUCAUGAAGUAGACUUUAAUUUAAUGAUGAAUGUAAACUAAUAAUUAGUCUUAAUAAAGAUUAGACUAAAACUUAUCGAUAAUAAUGCUAGUUUUCGUCGAAGGAGAAUAGAAUCGUGAGAAGCGAAAUGUUGCCCGAGUUUGGAAUCAUCACUUUGACAAGUGAGUGUGUAGUCCCUUUCAUGAACAUGAUUUUAAUACAAUUAUUGAUUGAAGUAUUAAAUAUAUUUUAUGUGCGAGUUAUUUGAUGUUGCUUGAAAUACACGUUAAAGAACAUACCUGAUUAUAUAUGAGGAUUUAGGAUAAAGAGUAAAAUUAAAUUAAUUAUGGGGAAUAUUGGGUAGUAUCUUUCUUAUGUGUUUGAGUGAGUUAUACACAGAGGAUAGAUCUUUAAAUUAUGUCAUUGAUCUGGGAGCAUGGAUUAGACACGGUCAUUGUCCCUAGUCCGAGAGUGUGGAUUGGACAUAGUCAAUUUUCAUUAAUUCGGGAGUAUGGAUUAAGACAUAGUCAGUUGUCAUUAAUCCGGAAGUAUGGAUUAAGACAUAGUCAGUUGUCCCUAGUCCGGGAGUAUAGAUAGGACAUAGUUAUUUGACAUUAAUCCGAGAGUAUGGAUUUAGACAUUUGUCCCUAGUCCAAGAGUAUGAAAUGGGCACAGUUAUUGAUCUGAGAGCAUGGGUUAGAUCCGGGAGUAUGGAUUAAGUAAAGAGAUAAAUUUUAAGGUCCACGAGUAUGGAUAGUGUUGUUGUGAGGAUAGACAGGGUGGGGUAAGAGUUGCUUAUAUAUAUAUGGUGAAAUUGUAUAUCUUGAUUNUAUAUAUAUGAUAUAACAUUGUGGGAUUGAAACCCCUAUGUACUCACCAUGUUUCCCAACCUGACCCACUCAGUUUAUCUAUAUCACAGGUGUCGAUACGAAGCUACAUAACACUGAGAGACUAAGGAGAAGUAGAUCACUAGUGUAAAUGAAUGUAAGGUUUGUUUAUGCUUAUGUUUCUGUAUUGAAGAUGACAUCCCAAUAUUUACAAAGGAAUAAAAUACAUUUUUUUCAGAAAUUCUUUGAUAAUAUAUUUGUCAUGAUUUUCUGGGAAAAAAUUCCGUAACAUAUUUUUUUAAAAGAUACUCUGAUUUUCAAAAUAAAGCAUAAACAAAUCGUUCUUUUCUGGCCGUGAAAAGAAAAUGGGGAUUUCACAUAUCAAAAACGAAAAAUCGUUGAACUGUCUCCCUAAUGAUUGUUAUAACAUCUUUUCUUAGUGAUACUUUGCAAAUGGGUCACUGUAUAUGUAGUGUAUAUUUUUUUGGACUAACUGUACACCUUAGUUUCAAGGUAAACAACAUAUUUCGUAUUUAGACAAUGGCUACUCAAGACAUAUUACAUGAUUUAAGUCUCUCCUGGAAGAUUUGAUAAAGAAUGAUGGUCAUUCAAUUACACAUGGAGAUAAUGGCAAGGGAGCUAAACAGGGAUAUGGAUCCAUCAAGUGCAAUUGUGUUGUUUUCAAGAAUGUUUGUUAUGCAAAAAGUCUUCAACAUAAUCUCAUUUAUAUCAGUCAACUGUGUGAUGCUGGCUAUAAAGUUCUCUUUCACAGGAAAGAAUAAAAAGUUGUUUAUCAAAAGAGCAACAAUGUUCUUACUGUGAAUCGACAAAAUGACAUCUAUGUUAUGGAUAUCUUUUAUGCUGACAAUUCUCUUUGUCGUAGCUUCUUCUCUCGUGCUCAGUCUCAUCUAAAUUAGUUGUAGCACAAAGGCUAUCACAUCUAAACUACAAUAAAAUAUCAAGGAUUGCAGGGAAUCAACUUGUGAGAGGAAUUCCUAAGAUGCAAUUUGUCAAGGACAAACUGUGCUCGACGUGUUAAAAAGAAAAGAAAACCAAGUCUUCAUUCAAGCCAAAGUCAUGUUCUUCAAUCAUCAAACCUCUUCAUCUCCUAUAUAUGGACCUUUUUAGACCAGUUUCGAUUAAGUCAAGAGUUAGGAAGAAAUAUACUCUUGUAGUGGAAAUUCCUCUAUGAUCACAAACUUAGGCCAUUAAAUAAUGAUCAUGGAACUGAAUUCAGAAACUCAUCUCUGGAAUAUUUUUGCUCAGUCUCAGGAAUAUCUCAGAACUUUUCGAUAGUUAGAACUCCCCAAGAAAAUGGUAUUGCAGAAAGAAAAAAAUGGUAUGGGGGCUAAUGCCUCCGUACCAGGGGAAUGUCUUAGCAUCGAACCCCGCUACCUUCGACAGUGCCAAGCGUUUGGCACAAAGACUCAUUGACCAUGGAGUCAAGACCCCUGCAACCACAACCACCCUAUCCAUCCCAGAAUCCUCCAAACCCACUGGCACCAAGCGGAAGUUUUGGGAUGAGAAGAAGAAGCAGCGAGCUGCAAAGAAACAACAAAUCGUGGCAGUGCAUGCCGCGGUAACCCCUACUGCAGCUACUUCUCCGGCAAAUCGGUAUGUUGGAAGUAUGUCCAAGUGCAACAAAUACAACUACCACCACAACGGCGCCUGCCGUGAAAUGCAGUGUUCUAACUGCAAUAGAAAAGGACACACCGUCCGAUUCUGUAAGUUCCCGGCACAACCGAUCUCCCAAGUUCCUGGCUCAGGCGCGAGCCCAACUUGCUAUGGAUGUGGCGAAACAGGCCACUUUAAAAGGGACUGCCCCAAAGCGAGGAAUGCUGGAGGAGCAGGGAGGGUACUAGCAAUAGGCCACGGGGAAGCAGUAGCUGACCCGAUAGUGGUGACUGGUACGUUCCUCCUCGAUAACUCCUAUGCAUGCAUUCUGUUAGAUAGUGGAGCGGAGCGAAGCUUCAUAAACCACAAAUUUGCUCGCAUGCUUAAGCAACAACCACAUGCACUUAAUGAACAAUUCAUAGUAGAAAUGGCAAAUGGGAAAACUGAAAGUACUAAUAGCAUAUACUUAGGUUGUCUCCUAACCUUAGAUAACCAUUCAUUCCCAAUCGACCUUAUGCCGGUCUCAAUAAAAAGUUUCGACGUUAUUAUCGGCAUGGAUUGGUUAAGUCUUCAUCGCGCCGACAUCAUGUGCUACGAGAAAGCAGUCCGUCUAAACCUCCCGUCUAACGAAACUCUUAUAGUCUACGGCGACAAACCUGGUGCGAGUCUUCGCAUUAUAUCUAGUAUUCAAGCACAGAAAUAUCUGCGCAAAGAAUACCACGCAUUCCUUGCUCACGUCGUCGACACGAACCUAGAAACGAAAGAACUAAAGAACCUCCCAGUAGUGAGCGACUUCCCCGACAUUUUCCCAGAAGAGCUACCCGGGUUACCUCCGCAACGACAAGUCGAGUUCAGAAUCGACUUAGUCCCAGGAGCUACCCCAGUAGCCAAGUCGCCCUACCGUUUAGCACCAGCCGAGAUGCAAGAACUCUCUGGUCAACUUAACGAACUGCUCAGCAAGGGCUUUAUAAGACCAAGUUUCUCACCUUGGGGAGCACCGGUCUUGUUCGUUAAGAAGAAAGACGGAUCAUUCCGUAUGUGUAUUGACUACAGAGAACUCAACAAAUUGACGAUCAAGAAUCGUUACCCUCUGCCACGCAUAGAUGAUCUAUUCGACCAACUGCAAGGGGCGAACUAUUUUUCCAAGAUUGAUCUGAGAUCCGGAUAUCACCAGUUACGAGUGCUAGAGGAGGAUGUGCCGAAGACAGCCUUCUGAACUCGUUACGGACACUACGAGUUCGUGGUGAUGCCAUUCGGAUUGACCAAUGCGCCCGCAGUCUUCAUGGAUCUGAUGAAUAGAGUAUGCCGACCUUAGUUAGAUCAGUUCGUCAUCGUUUUCAUUGAUGACAUCCUGAUCUACUCCCGAAGUAAGAAAGAGCAUGGUGAUCACCUGCGACAAAUUCUAGAGACAUUAUGAAAAGAGAAACUGUAUGCGAAGUUCUCGAAAUGUGAAUUGUGGAUCCGAAGAGUCGAAUUCUUAGGACACGUGGUAAGCGAAGAGGGAAUCCACGUGGACCCAUCCAAAAUUAAAGCCAUUG